AGCAUAUUAAUAAGCGGAGGAAAAGAAACUAACAAGGAUUCCCUCAGUAACGGCGAGUGAAGCGGGAACAGCUCAAAUUUGAAAUCUCCGGUGCUUGCAUCGGCGAGUUGUAGUUGCGAGAAGCACUUUCUAGGUGGAUCGGUCGCGCCUAAGUUGCUUGGAACAGCACGUCGCAGAGGGUGACAACCCCGUCUGUGGCGCGGCCGGCCGCUGACGAUGUGCUUUCGAAGAGUCGGGUUGUUUGGGAAUGCAGCCCAAAAUGGGUGGUAAACUCCAUCUAAAGCUAAAUACUGGCGUGAGACCGAUAGCGAACAAGUACCGUGAGGGAAAGAUGAAAAGAACUUUGAAAAGAGAGUUAAAAAGUACGUGAAACCGUUGAAAGGGAAACGAAUGGACUCAGCAAUGCGCCGUUUGAGAUUCAGCCGGUGGGCGGGAUCGGCGCGGGGUUUGCGGAUCUGAAUGGACCGCGGCCUCGAGCUCGUUUCUCCCCGCCGUCGCACUUCUCUUGGGCGCGCGUCAACGUCGGUUGGGACUGGGUCUGAAAGGUGCCGGGAAGGUAGGUCUGGACCUUCGGGUCCGUUCUGUUACAGCCCGGUUCUCUCAUGGCUCGGGCCCGACCGAGGAGCUGCAGCGCAUGCCUCUUGUGGCUAGGGUCCCGUCCUUCCGGCCGGUUGUCGAAUGUGGUGGACUGCUUGCAGUGCUCCGCGACUGCUGCCGGUCGUUGGGGUGGUGAUCUCGUACCAUGCGCUUAGGAUGUUGGCGGUCAUAUG
rnacentral:rRNA from 1 species